rnacentral:rRNA from 1 species
CUGACCUCAAAUCAGGUAGGACUACCCGCUGAACUUAAGCAUAUCAAUAAGGCGGAAGGAAGGA